GAGCCUGGAUGGGUGGCUAAUAGAAGAAGAGGACAAAGAAACCUUUGCUAAAGAACCGAGGUGCAGCUGGGCUACCAUGUCUGCCUCACAACCCUGAAGUUCCAUUAACUGUAGGAGAGCUGUUAGGUCAGGGCUUGAAGUGUGGUGAUGGAGCACCUGGAGAAGGGCUGUGUCUGCCCAGGGAGCACAAAUUGUUUGCUCCUGUGCUCCUUAGCUGACCAGAAGGGGUGGGCUGGGAGUGGAGCCACCCAUAGCUCAUAUAAAGGCCAGCCACUGAAGAGAGAGCAUUUGUUGAACCUGGGUUGCUUCCUGGGGAGUGCUGCAGUGCCAGAGAGACCCUUCACCAGCUGGGAAAACAGCAACGCUGAAGCCUGGAUCACAUCUCCUUUAAAUGUCGGAUUUCAUCCACUUGAGCUCUGGGGACAAAAGCGAGAGGCACAAGAACAAGAGAGGCUGGCAUACAGGUUCUUGGAAAGGAAAACCCAGACAGAUGCACUGCCAAAGAACUGAUGAGGAGAAGAAUAUACUUUGCCUAUGGUUCAGCGGUUCAGUUUCAAAUAGAUACAUAAAUAUUGAGUGUAGCUGGGAAGGAAGAAUAGCACUGCUUUGCGAGACAGUCCAGAGACCCACUAAAGCUCAGCUGCUCAAUAAAGAGUGAAUCAGGAAUAAAAAGGAGAAGGAAGAAAGCUGAAACCUUGUUGGAGAAAUAAGGCAAAUGCUGUUUAUUAAAAUGUAAUAAAAUCUGAUGAGCACCUUAGGCUAUAGUAAGAAUUAAAACCAGUUGUUCACAUCACUCAAAGAAUCAAAAUUACUUCCUGGCCCUUUCCACCUCUGAAUAGCUCAUUCUACUCAAACCAGCUGGUAUCCCAAGUAAAGGGCAGACACAACUGCAGUGGACGUUUCAAAACUGACUUACCUGAUUAGACAAUUGUGCACUGUUCAAUAUUUUCCUCUCCUCUUUCAGACAGUUAUGGAUGAUCAUUGCCAUGUGUAUGGGGUCUUCUUGGAAGUUAUCCUGGCAUUAAAUAUGGGCUAUUGUUAAAUUUUAUAUGUGUAAUCUCUUAUAUUUCAUUCAAUCAAUUCACAAGAAUAACACGUGUCUGGUUAAGCCUGAGUUGUAUCUUGUUUCGAGACCACAAGGACUGCAACCACCUCUAAGAAGUAGUUUCUGCGCCUGCUGUUUUAGUUUUGUUAGGGUACAGAGAGUUGAUGGGACUUGUCACACAACAACGAGAGAGGGCUGGAGAUGUUACUGGAAGAAGGUAGAGAGCACACUAUAGUCCUGGAGACAGUUUGUCCUCCCUCGAGAGCCACAUUUCCACGCCUUGGAGGUAUAGUUUCUAGCUUUACAGGUACAGCUCUUGCUCAGGAAAAUAAAGGAGGGAUGUUGGCUGCCACUUGGGAAUGCAUAGACAAGGGAAGUAAUGAAGUUCACAAAUACAUUCUGCAGUGCCAUCCACUACCCAGUAUAAUAUGAUGUACAGAUUCCUUGCUAUUUAUUGUGAUUCUGUAGCUAUAUGUAAUGAUUUAUUCUCCUGUGUUCCUUCUGCAUCAGAGACUUCUCAAGACACUGAAGAAACUGCUUGGGGAAGGAAUGGGGCAAGCAAAACUGCAUUCCUGUAGGUACUCCAAAUACACGCAGUAAACACCUUACAAACCACAACUUCUGUUUCUUGAGUUCUCAGAAACCGUAACUGUACUGUUAAUGAAACUAACUUUGUAACUGUGGCCAACUAAAAACAAAAAUAAAAAUGGAGUAAUGUUUGA